UACGUAGGGGGCAAGCGUUGUCCGGAAUCAUUGGGCGUAAAGCGCGUGUAGGCGGUUCGGUAAGUCUGCUGUGAAAGUCCAGGGCUCAACCCUGGGAUGCCGGUGGAUACUGUCGGACCAGAGUACGGAAGAGGCGAGUGGAAUUCCCGGUGUAGCGGUGAAAUGCGUAGAUAUCAAGAGGAACACCUGCGGCGAAGGCGGGUUGCUGGGCCGACACUGACGCUGAGGCGCGAAAGCCAGGGGAGCGAACGGG
rnacentral:rRNA from 1 species